UCGGGAAUUUUGGGCAAUGGGCGAAAGCCUGACCCAGCAACGCCGCGUGAGGGAUGAAGGCCUUCGGGUCGUAAACCUCUGUCGGGAGGGAAGAACGUUCCCGGGGUGAACAAUCCCGGGGGGCUGACGGUACCUCCAAGGGAAGCGCCGGCUAACUCCGUGCCAGCAGCCGCGGUAAUACGGAGGGCGCAAGCGUUGUUCGGAAUCAUUGGGCGUAAAGCGCGUGUAGGCGGCUUGGCAAGUCGAGUGUGAAAGCCCGGGGCUCAACCCCGGAAGGUCGCUCGAAACUGCCUCGCUCGAGUCCCGGAGAGGAAGGCGGAAUUCCCGGUGUAGAGGUGAAAUUCGUAGAUAUCGGGAGGAGCACCAGCGGCGAAGGCGGCCUUCUGGACGGUGACUGACGCUGAGACGCGAAAGCGUGGGGAGCAAACAGGAUUAGAUACCCUGGUAGUCCACGCCGUAAACGUUGGGUGCUAGGUGUCGCGGGUAUUGACCCUGCGGUGCCGCCGCUAACGCAUUAAGCA
rnacentral:rRNA from 1 species